UUCUUGGUUUAAGUCGUGACAUCUUUGAAAGGUCAGUGAAGAAACAUUGCGACACGGACGAGGAACGCCAUAGGGCUAUGAAGUCCAUCUCCAGAUUUUGUGCACUUGUUGAAUCGCGUGCUCCUCGUACUAUUGAAGAAUUCGAGGCAUCCAUCCCUGACGAUCCUAACGACUGGACACAAGAGAUGCGGGAGUAUAUGUACCAAAAGGAACAGGAGAGUAUGAGGAAAUUCACAGAGCAACAGGUGAGGAAG